rnacentral:lncRNA from 1 species
AGGUGGAGAUGAUAUUACUCACAAUAUGCUGAGUGCCACGUGCUGACGUCACUAAGAUCAAUACAGCAAACUCUGAAAGAUGGACAGAGAGACAGGAGAUGGUCCUUUAUAAUGCAGUGUGAUCUGUGCUGCAAUAGAGAUGGAAGAGUGUUCUGAUCGGCUGGAAAACAACGCACAUGGGAAGCUGUACAGAAAUGAGUGGGGAAAGUUUUGGAAGC